rnacentral:lncRNA from 1 species
CUCAAUUGCAACUAACAACCCAUUAAAGACAGCGCAGGGGGAACCGGAUUCUCUCCUGCAAAGCGACAUAAAUCCAGCGAAAACCCAUUAAACCACCACCGCCGCCACCAAGCAACGCAGCACUACACACCACAGCAAACAACAGUGAAGGCGAUGGUUACUGCUGUCAAUCUUGGCAAUCAAUGUGAGCGGCCAUGUCGCUAGAGACAGGCACAGCAGCCAGCGCAGGCAGAUGCUGGGAAGGGAUGCUGGGCUGCUCUGCGUCCUCGCAGAGGGAAGGAAUCAACCUCUCGGUUCACGUCGGGGCACUUACCUGCUCACAGCUGGCAGCGCAUUUUGCGCCGUCUCUUUCAUUAAACACACAAAAGUAAAGCAACGCUCAACAAGCAAAGCAACCUGUCUGUGUGUUGAGUUUUAGCGCAUCUUUGAUAAGACGAGCAAACCCACAACUCCUGUGGAGUUGGUAGAACAGCGUCUGAAGUUUUGAUUCAAAGGGCGAGAAAUUCCGCCUUAAAAGUCAUACGCCCCAUUCUAAACUCCCCUCUAUCCCCAGUAAAUGCCGGACAAUUAACAGGCAUAUUUCAAAGUUCCCUCUGCUGAUACUCUCCGACAAUGAAGGCUUUUUACAGGCUUGUUAAAGAUGUUCAGAGAAAGUUUUGCAAGAUAAUCAACAGCAUCUGAGAGAAAGCUGAAGGAGAAGAAGUUAAAGUCUGCUCAUCGACUGGGAGAAAGUUUUGUUAGACAAGAUAAAAGCAUAUCCCUGCAGUGUUCUUCAUAAGCAACACCAUCAGCUGAUGUGAGUUCCCCUAGAACAAGCACCUCUGGCGAUCUUCUCAAAAUUUAGGGGACGUUUGCAUUUUGUAACGCCCAAAGCUAAGGAUCUGACUGACAAAAAAGAACAAACCAAAAACCUCUGCACUCUUUAGAGCGUCAUCUGCCAACACAAUGUAUUGUCCUGGCAGAAGCAGGAACAAGAAGGUUUUAAUUUCACUUGAAACUGUGCAUCACCCUGACGGUGAAGGAAAAAGCCGCAGCAACAAUCUCCCCACUUCAUACCC